UGGCCACGCCCUUUUGAAAUGCCGGUUCCUGUACAAUCACCAAAGUUAAGCAAUGUCAAACCUGGACAGUACUGAGAUGGGUGAACACUUGGGAAUACCAGCUGCUGUAA